AUUGAACGCUGGCGGCAGGCUUAACACAUGCAAGUCGAGCGGGGUGAUGGUGCUUGCACUAUCACUUAGCGGCGGACGGGUGAGUAAUGCUUAGGAAUCUGCCUAUUAGUGGGGGACAACAUCUCGAAAGGGAUGCUAAUACCGCAUACGUCCUACGGGAGAAAGCAGGGGAUCACUUGUGACCUUGCGCUAAUAGAUGAGCCUAAGUCGGAUUAGCUAGUUGGUGGGGGAAAGGCCUACCAAGGCGACGAUCUGUAGCGGGUCGGAGAGGAGGGUCACGCAGACUGGGACUGAGAAACGGCCCAGCGUCCUACGGGAGGCAGCAAUGGGGAAUAUUGGACAGUGGGGGGAACCCUGCUCCAGCCAUGCAGCGUGUGUGAAGAAGGCCUUAUGGUUGUAAAGCACUUUAAGCGAGGAGGAGGCUCUUUUGGUUAAUACCCAGAAUGAGUGGACGUUACUCGCAGAAUAAGCACCGGCUAACUCUGUGCCAGCCGCCGCGGUAA
rnacentral:rRNA from 1 species